UCCUCUAUAGCUCAGUUGGUAGAGCAUUACGGCUGUUAACCGUAGCGUCGCAGGUUCGAACCCCUGCUUGCGGAG